CGAACGCUGGCGGCAUGCUUAACACAUGCAAGUCGCACGGGCAGGGGCAACUCUGUCAGUGGCGGACGGGUGAGUAACGCGUAGGUAUCUAUCUCUGGGUGGGGGAUAACCGUGGGAAACUACGGCUAAUACCGCAUGACACCUGAGGGUCAAAGGCGCGAGCCGCCUGGAGAGGAGCCUGCGUUCGAUUAGCUUGUUGGUGGGGUAAAGGCCUACCAAGGCGACGAUCGAUAGCUGGUCUGAGAGGAUGAUCAGCCACAUUGGGACUGAGACACGGCCCAAACUCCUACGGGAGGCAGCAGUGGGGAAUAUUGGACAAUGGGCGCAAGCCUGAUCCAGCAAUGCCGCGUGGGUGAAGAAGGUUUUCGGAUUGUAAAGCCCUUUUGGUGGGGACGAUGAUGACGGUACCCGCAGAAUAAGCCCCGGCUAACUUCGUGCCAGCAGCCGCGGUAAUACGAAGGGGGCUAGCGUUGCUCGGAA
rnacentral:rRNA from 1 species